AAAAAACACAUAAUAAUGCCAAACACCUCAGUUCCUUAGAAAUAUUAAUUCAUUUAACCUCAUAUCAAUCUUAGGUAGGAACUAUUAUUACCCUUUUUACAGGCACGGGAAACUGAGGCAUAGAUAAGGAACUUGAUUAUGUCACACAACUAGAAAGUGGAAUUUCUGGUUAAAAUCCCUGGAGUCUGGUUCCACAGUUUAUGCUGUUGGUUACUAGACUUGGCUGCCCUCAGACAUCUGAAUAGCUAAUUGUGCAUCUUAGGCAUAUAAAUAGCUAAUUUAAAGGAAAGUAAAGGUUAAACUAGUGAGUUAAAUGUUACUGUAAUUGAUUAUUGAAGUUGAUCUCUUCAUUCAUGUAUUCAGACAUUUAGUUUGAACAGACAUUAAUUAGCCUACGAUAUAUAAGGCAGUAUGAUAAAUGUAUACAGUGGUUAAGGGUAGGGAUUAUCUGUAUGUGGAUGCAAAUUGAAUUUCUGCCAUUAAGAGGAAUUUUUAGUGGUUCAGAACUUUUCUGUAUAGGUGUAGUGAGAUGCAUCAUAGUGACAUACAAAUACAUUAAAAUAUUGUUUUCUUUUUUUUGAGAUAGGGUCUUCUUCCUGGGCAACAGAGUGAGACUCUGUCUCAAAACAAAAACAAAAACAAAAAAAGAAUCACAAUUAUUAGAAUAGUGCUUGGAAAAAUAUGAGACUGGAAUGAUUCCUCACCAAUGAGGAUUCCUUAUCAAGCAGAACAAGAUUGUUAGGCUUAUCUUAUUUAUUCAAGUUAUUGAAGCUUUAGUAACCAUGACACCUUUUCAGCAAUAGCUUGAGCUGCUUUGCAAGGGCAGUAUGCUUUUUAGCAAAGGUCAUAGGAGCAGGUAUACUCUGAGCCAUCUGAUUCAUCUCCCUGUUUCAGUUUUCCUGUUACGUCAGGGAGCAUUGAGGUCAGGAGUACUUCCACUUAGGCUUAGUGCUAAGGGGUAAUAAACUAUUUCAUCUAUAUAAAACUACUUUUUCCAGUGUACUUAGAAGAUGAGGAAGAGAGAUUAGAAAGGUGGAAAGUUGGAGAUGGGGUGGUGCUGCAUUGCUUGGGAGAAGGGAGCAUAAAGGGUCAUUAUUUUCAGUGUUGUCAGCAUUUGUUUUAGAAUAUAUUCUCAACUCCAGUGUGGUGAUUCCUCAAGCAUCUAGAACUAGAAAUACUAUUUGACCCAGCAAUCCCAUUACUGGGUAUAUACCCAAAGGAUUAUAAAUCAUGCUUUUAUAAAGACACGUGCACACAUAUGUUUAUUGUGGCACUAUUCACAAUAGCAAAGACUUGGAACCAACCCAAAUGUCCAUCAAUGAUAGACUGGAUUAAGAAAGUGUGGCACAUAUACACCAUGGAGUACUUUGCAGCCAUAAAAAAGGAUGAGUUCAUGUCCUUUGCAGGGACAUGGAUGAAGCAGGAAACCAUCAUUCUAAGCAAACUAUCACAAGGGCAGAAAAACAAACACCGCAUGUUCUCACUUGUAGGUAGGAAUUGAACAAUGGGAACACUUGGACACAGGGCAGGGAACAUCACACACCAGGCACAGUCGGGGGGUGGGGGGUCUGGGGGAGGGAUAGCAUUAGGAGAAAUACCUAAUGUAAAUGACGAGUUGAUUGGUGCAGCAAAUCAACAUGGCACAUGUAUACCUAUGUAACAAACCUGCACGUUGUGCACAUGUACCCUAGAACUUAAAAGUAUAA
rnacentral:lncRNA from 10 species